AGUCAACGUUGGCGGCGUGCGUAACACAUGCAAGUCGAACGAUCCUUAGGUGGCUUGCCAUUUAAGGAGAGUGGCGAACGGGUGAGUAACACGUGAGCAAUCUGCCCUCGAGUGGGGAACAACCUCGCGAAAGCGGGGCUAAUACCGCAUAACACUCUGAAGCAUAAGCUUUCAGAGUCAAAGCCUUCGGGUGCUUGAGGAUGAGCUUGCGCCUUAUUAGCUAGUUGGUGGGGUAACGGCCUACCAAGGUAAUGAUGAGUAGCCGGCCUGAGAGGGUGUACGGCCACACUGGAACUGCGACACGGUCCAGACUCCUACGGGAGGCAGCAGUGGGGAAUUUUGCGCAAUGGGCGAAAGCCUGACGCAGCGACGCCGCGUGGAGGAUGAAGGCCUUCGGGUUGUAAACUCCUGUCAGAGGUGAAGAAUGCCCUUCGGGGUUUGACGGUAACCUCAGAGGAAGCCCCGGCUAACUACGUG
rnacentral:rRNA from 1 species